rnacentral:rRNA from 1 species
CCUGACGGACAAUACCGCGUGAGGGACGAAGGUCUGUGGAUUGUAAACCUCUUUUGUUAGGGAAGAUAAUGACGGUACCUAACGAAUAAGCAUCGGCUAACUCCGUGCCAGCAGCCGCGGUAAGACGGAGGAUGCAAGCGUUAUCCGGAAUUAUUGGGCGUAAAGCGUACGUAGGCUGUUAGAUAAGUCUGUUGUCAAAGCGCGAGGCUCAACCUUGUAAAGGCAAUGGAAACUGUUUGACUAGAGAGAGAUAGGGGCAGGAGGAAUUCCAGGUGUAGCGGUGAAAUGCGUAGAUAUCUGGAAGAACACCAGUGGCGAAAGCGUCCUGCUGGAUCUCAACUGACGCUGAAGUACGAAAGCUAGGGGAGCGAAUGGGAUUAGAUACCCCAGURGUCAA